UACAAUUAUCAAACCACUUGACGGUGGCUUUGAAUGUGGGGGACUAUUUUUUGCAGGCUUUUAUCCUCAAGUCUGCUCCCCUGAAAUAAAUUAGUGGUGUCUGGAGUGGAAACCGCCAGGUGUGAUAAUCUAUCGUCUACACAUUUGGGUAUGCCACAUGAAAACAGAUUGUGCUGCUUCCAACGCAACCUGACCCUUUAUGACAA
rnacentral:misc_RNA from 1 species